rnacentral:rRNA from 1 species
UACGUAGGGUGCGAGCGUUGUCCGGAAUUAUUGGGCGUAAAGGGCUCGUAGGCGGUUUGUCGCGUCGGGAGUGAAAUCCACUGGCUUAACUGGUGGCUUGCUUUCGAUACGGGCAGACUGGAGGUAUGCAAGGGAGAACGGAAUUCCUGGUGUAGCGGUGAAAUGCGCAGAUAUCAGGAGGAACACCGGUGGCGAAGGCGGUUCUCUGGGCAUGUCCUGACGCUGAGGAGCGAAAGUGUGGGGAGCGAACAGG